AGAGGGUGCGAGCGUUGUCCGGAAUCACUGGGCGUAAAGGGCGUGUAGGUGGCUUGGUAAGCCGCGUGUGAAAUCCCGGGGCUCAACCCCGGAACGGCACGCGGGACUGUCAGGCUAGAGCAUGGUAGAGGCGAGUGGAGUUCCUGGUGUAGCGGUGGAAUGCGUAGAGAUCAGGAAGAACACCGGUGGCGAAGGCGGCUCGCUGGGCCAUUGCUGACACUGAGGCGCGAAAGCGUGGGGAGCAAACAGGAUUAGAUACCCUGGUAGUCAACGCUGUAAACGAUGGGCACUAGGCGUCGGGGGGAGCGACCCUCCCGGUGCCGUCGCUAACGCAAUGAGUGCCCCGCCUGGGGAGUACGGCCGCAAGGUUG
rnacentral:rRNA from 1 species